UACGUAGGGUGCGAGCGUUGUCCGGAAUUAUUGGGCGUAAAGGGCUCGUAGGCGGUUUGUCGCGUCGGGAGUGAAAACCUCGGGCUUAACUCGGGGCUUGCUUUCGAUACGGGCAGACUAGAGUGUGGUAGGGGAGACUGGAAUUCCUGGUGUAGCGGUGAAAUGCGCAGAUAUCAGGAGGAACACCGAUGGCGAAGGCAGGUCUCUGGGCCACUACUGACGCUGAGAAGCGAAAGCAUGGGGAGCGAACAGG
rnacentral:rRNA from 1 species